rnacentral:piRNA from 1 species
UAGCAAGACGGAUAGAGUAUGUGACUGG